UACGUAGGGUGCAAGCGUUGUCCGGAUUCACUGGGUUUAAAGGGUGCGUAGGCGGACAGGUAAGUCAGUGGUGAAAUCUCCGAGCUUAACUCGGAAACUGCCUUUGAUACUCUCUGUCUUGAAUAUGGUGGAGGUAAGCGGAAUAUGUCAUGUAGCGGUGAAAUGCUUAGAGAUGACAUAGAACACCUAUUGCGAAGGCAGCUUACUAUGCCUAUAUUGACGCUGAGGCACGAAAGCGUGGGGAUCAAACAGG
rnacentral:rRNA from 1 species